rnacentral:rRNA from 1 species
UUUGACCUCAAAUCAGGUAGGACUACCCGCUGAACUUAAGCAUAUCAAUAAGCGGAGGAAAAGAAACUAACAAGGAUUCCCCUAGUAACGGCGAGUGAAGAGGGAAGAGCUCAAAUUUGAAAUCUGGUGGCCUACGGUCAUCCGAGUUGUAAUCUAGAGAAGUGUUUUCCGUGCUGGACCGUGUACAAGUCCUUUGGAACAAGGCGUCAUAGAGGGUGAGAAUCCCGUCUACGACACGGACUGCCAGUGCUUUGUGAUACACUCUCAACGAGUCGAGUUGUUUGGGAAUGCAGCUCAAAAUGGGUGGUAAAUUCCAUCUAAAGCUAAAUACAGGCGAAAGACCGAUAGCGAACAAGUACCGUGAGGGAAAGAUGAAAAGCACUUUGGAAAGAGAGUUAAACAGUACGUGAAAUUGUUGAAAGGGAAACGCUUGAAGUCAGUCGCGUCUUCAGAAAUUCAGCUUGGCUUCUGCCGGGUGUACUUUUCUGUUGGACGGGCCAGCAUCAGUUUUGGCCGCCAGAAAAAGGUGGGAGGAAGGUGGCACCUCCGGGUGUGUUAUAGCCUCUCACCGUAUGUGGCGGCUGGGACUGAGGAUCGCAGCAUGCCUUCAUGGCCGGGGUUCGCCCACGUAACGUGCUUAGGAUGCUGGCGUAAUGGCUUUAAGCGACCCGUCUUGAAACACGGACCAAGGAGUCUAACAUGCCUGCGAGUAUUUGGGUGGUAAACCCAUAUGCGGAAUGAAAGUGAACAGUUGGGACUUCUGUCAUGGAAGGCACCGACGCCCGGACCAGACCUAUUGUGACGGAUCCGAGGUAGAGCAUGUAUGUUGGGACCCGAAAGAUGGUGAACUAUGCCUGAGUAGGGUGAAGCCAGAGGAAACUCUGGUGGAGGCUCGUAGCGAUUCUGACGUGCAAAUCGAUCGUCGAACUUGGGUAYAGGGGCGAAAGACUAAUCGANC